GAUGAACGCUAGCGGGAGGCCUAACACAUGCAAGCCGAGCGGUAGAGUUCCUUCGGGAACUUGAGAGCGGCGUACGGGUGCGUAACACGUGUGCAACCUACCUUUAUCUGGGGGAUAGCCUUUCGAAAGGAAGAUUAAUACCCCAUAAUAUAAUGAUUGGCAUCAAUUAUUAUUGAAAACUCCGGUGGAUAGAGCUGGGCACGCGCAAGAUUAGAUAGUUGGUGAGGUAACGGCUCACCAAGUCAAUGAUCUUUAGGGGUCCUGAGAGGGGGAUCCCCCACGCUAGUACCAAGACACGGACCAGACUCCUACGAGAGGCAGUAGUGAGGAAUAUAAGACUGUGAGUGAAAGUCUGAUCCAGCCAUCCCACGUGAAGGAAGACGGUCAUGUGGAUUGUAAUCUUCUAUUGUACAAGGAGUAACCUAAUCUCGUGGGGGUAGCUGAAGGUCCUGUACGAAUAAGCACCGGCUCACUCCGUG
rnacentral:rRNA from 1 species